rnacentral:lncRNA from 9 species
AUUGCUGACACGAGCAGUUCCAACCAGGAAAGCAGAGCUGCUUCCCACGGACAGAUUUUGGGGGUGGGUAGCAGGGACCCUCCUGACGGCUUGCUUCUGGGAUGUAGGAUGCAUUACGGAAAUCAUGAGCCUGUGUCCAGGCGUGGUCUCCUUUUCAUAGACCUGGGUACUGUGGCAACAUCCACCCCCCCCCCGCCCCCGCCGCAAGGCUGCCUUUUGGCUGCUGGCUGUGCCAUGGAAUGGAGCAUAUGUAUUUCUGCAUAUUUCCACUUUUGUGGUUUCAGUUCCAGGCUUUCAAAUUUUUUUUUCUUUUUUUCAGGAGAGAUCAGAGACAUACAGACUGUACUUCCUUCUGCGACACAGAAUUCGCACCUACUUGCUGAAUGGAAAACUUCCGUACAGGAAGGAACACCUCCCAAAGAUACACAAGAAUGGAUUUUAGCAGGAUAGAUGUUCCUCAAAAAACCAGAAAUAGACCUGCUAUAGGAUCCAGCCAUCCCACUCCCGGGCAUCUAUCCAGAGAAAACCAUGACUCGCAAAGACUCAUGUACUCUGAUGUUCAUUGCAGCACUAUUUAUAAUAGUCAAGACAUGGAAACAACCUAAAUGUCCAUCAACAGAGGAGUGGAUCCAGAAGAUGUGCUCCACAUAGACAAUGGAAUACUACGCAGCCAUUAAAAAGAAUAAAGUAACAUGAUUUGGAGCAACAUGGAUGAACCUCAAGGUGAUCAUACUAAAUGAAGUCAGUCACAGAGAAAAAGACCAAUUUCAUAUGGUAUCACUUAUUUGUGGAAUUUAAAAUGUGACACAAAAGAACCCCUAUGAAGGACAGUAUGGAAGUUCCUUAAAAAGUUAAAUACAGAACUACCAUAUGGUCCAGCAACCCCACUCCUGGGCAUCUAUCUGGAGAAAACCCUAAUUCAAACAGAUACUUGCCCCCCAGUGUUCGUAGCAUCACUAUUCACAAUAGCCAAGACAUGGAAACAAGCUAAAUGUUCAUCGACAGAGGAAUGGCUUAGGAAGAUGUGGGACAUAUACACCAUGGAAUACUACUCGGCCAUAAAAAAGAACAAAAUUCUGCCAUUUCAGCCACAUGGAUGGACUUAGAGACGAUCAUACUAAGGGAAGUAAGCCGGACAGAGAAAGACAAAUACCAUAUGAUGCUACUUAUAUGUGGAAUCUAAAAAAAUGCAAGACUAGUGAAUGUAAUAAAAAAAGACACAGACUCACAGAUACAGAGAACAAAGUAGUGGGGAGAGG